rnacentral:rRNA from 1 species
UACGAAGGCAGCAGUGGGGAAUAUUGCACAAUGGGCGAAAGCCUGAUGCAGCUAUGCCGCGUGUAUGAAGAAGGCCUUAGGGUUGUAAAGUACUUUCAUCGGGGAGGAAAAAACAAAACUAAUAAUUUUAUUUCUUGACGUUACCCGAAAAAGAAGCACCGGCUAACUCCGUGCCAGCAGCCGCGGUAAUACGGAGGGUGCUAGCGUUAAUCAGAAUUACUGGGCGUAAAGAGCACGUAGGUGGUUUUUUUAAGUCAGAUGUGAAAUCCCUGGGCUUAACCUAGGAACUGCAUUUUGAAACUGAAAUACUAGAGUAUCGUAGAGGGAGGUAGAAUUCUAGGUGUAGCGGUGAAAUGCGUAGAUAUCUGGAGGAAUACCUGUGGCGAAAGCGGCCUCCUAAACGAAUACUGACACUGAGGUGCGAAAGCGUGGGGAGCAAACAGGGAUUAGAUACC